rnacentral:rRNA from 1 species
GACGUAGGGCGCGAGCGUUUGUCCGGAUUUAUUGGGCGUAAAGAGCUCGUAGGCGGCUUGUUGCGUCGACUGUGAAAACCCGCGGCUUAACUGCGGGCUUGCAGUUGAUACGGGCAGGCUAGAGUUCGGUAGGGGAGACUGGAAUUCCUGGUGUAGCGGUGAAAUGCGCAGAUAUCAGGAGGAACACCGGUGGCGAAGGCGGGUCUCUGGGCCGAUACUGACGCUGAGGAGCGAAAGCGUGGGGAGCGAACAGG